rnacentral:rRNA from 1 species
AAAUUGAAGAGUUUGAUCAUGGCUCAGAUUGAACGCUGGCGGCAGGCCUAACACAUGCAAGUCGAGCGGUAGCACAGAGAGCUUGCUCUCGGGUGACGAGCGGCGGACGGGUGAGUAAUGUCUGGGAAACUGCCUGAUGGAGGGGAUAACUACUGGAAACGGUAGCUAAUACCGCAUAAUGUCGCAAGACCAAAGUGGGGGACCUUCGGGCCUCAUGCCAUCAGAUGUGCCCAGAUGGGAUUAGCUAGUAGGUGGGGUAACGGCUCACCUAGGCGACGAUCCCUAGCUGGUCUGAGAGGAUGACCAGCCACACUGGAACUGAGACACGGUCCAGACUCCUACGGGAGGCAGCAGUGGGGAAUAUUGCACAAUGGGCGCAAGCCUGAUGCAGCCAUGCCGCGUGUGUGAAGAAGGCCUUCGGGUUGUAAAGCACUUUCAGCGGGGAGGAAGGCGGUGAGGUUAAUAACCUCAUCGAUUGACGUUACCCGCAGAAGAAGCACCGGCUAACUCCGUGCCAGCAGCCGCGGUAAUACGGAGGGUGCAAGCGUUAAUCGGAAUUACUGGGCGUAAAGCGCACGCAGGCGGUCUGUCAAGUCGGAUGUGAAAUCCCCGGGCUCAACCUGGGAACUGCAUUCGAAACUGGCAGGCUAGAGUCUUGUAGAGGGGGUAGAAUUCCAGGUGUAGCGGUGAAAUGCGUAGAGAUCUGGAGGAAUACCGGUGGCGAAGGCGGCCCCUGGACAAAGACUGACGCUCAGGUGCGAAAGCGUGGGGAGCAAACAGGAUUAGAUACCCUGGUAGUCCACGCCGUAAACGAUGUCGAUUUGGAGGUUGUGCCCUUGAGGCGUGGCUUCCGGAGCUAACGCGUUAAAUCGACCGCCUGGGGAGUACGGCCGCAAGGUUAAAACUCAAAUGAAUUGACGGGGGCCCGCACAAGCGGUGGAGCAUGUGGUUUAAUUCGAUGCAACGCGAAGAACCUUACCUGGUCUUGACAUCCACAGAACUUUCCAGAGAUGGAUUGGUGCCUUCGGGAACUGUGAGACAGGUGCUGCAUGGCUGUCGUCAGCUCGUGUUGUGAAAUGUUGGGUUAAGUCCCGCAACGAGCGCAACCCUUAUCCUUUGUUGCCAGCGGUCCGGCCGGGAACUCAAAGGAGACUGCCAGUGAUAAACUGGAGGAAGGUGGGGAUGACGUCAAGUCAUCAUGGCCCUUACGACCAGGGCUACACACGUGCUACAAUGGCAUAUACAAAGAGAAGCGACCUCGCGAGAGCAAGCGGACCUCAUAAAGUAUGUCGUAGUCCGGAUUGGAGUCUGCAACUCGACUCCAUGAAGUCGGAAUCGCUAGUAAUCGUAGAUCAGAAUGCUACGGUGAAUACGUUCCCGGGCCUUGUACACACCGCCCGUCACACCAUGGGAGUGGGUUGCAAAAGAAGUAGGUAGCUUAACCUUCGGGAGGGCGCUUACCACUUUGUGAUUCAUGACUGGGGUGAAGUCGUAACAAGGUAACCGUAGGGGAACCUGCGGUUGGAUCACCUCCUUA